AUCCAUGUUUUUUUGCUUAUCAAUGAUGAAACAUAAUGCAAGUCAUUUAUAGCGCAAAGAGAAAGUGAGAGAAUCCCACACAUGCGCAGAAGCUUUGGAUUUAGUUGUCGGAAAAUGGUUCUAGAGAAGUCGGAUAUGCAGCCACUCUGUAUUUUGAAACUCGUCUUAAUGGUCUCAGGGGUACAAUCCUUGAUUCUGUUUCAUCCCCCCCAGCUAAAUGGCAGCUAUGCUUUUUGGUUUGCUGAAAAGCUGCGGAAGGAGGUGACUGAAGAAAUGUAAUAACCCCCAUCACGUACGCUUUGGAAGCAAAGUACAGGCCCUAUCUUGAGGGUAACUAAGGAAUAAACUAUGUGGAUGGAAGCCAUCGCAGCCUUGAAAUGUUUUCAAACAUCUGGUUGGACAACAAGGCCAGCAUCGUGUUCACUAGGCACCGGAUGGAACACAAUGGACUGAAACAGGGAGGGAUUUCCUGGCCUUGCCCCAGGAAAUUCCAGACUGACCUGGAAUUUGAAUUGAAUUAAAUGGAAUGUACAGGGAGCGAGAACUGAAUGAAAAUGCAAUUUGUGAAAUUGACACCAACCCUUGUACAGUGUGAUAUUUUAUCCUCAACUGCAAUUAAAACAAAAUGUAAUUGAGCUCAUUAACUCCAUCAGUUUAAGUUGAUAUAUGUUUUAGGCUUUUAGUUUACAUUUUCAGAAUAAGAAUAUCUGGGCUGCUAUCAAUUAACAACCUUGAGGACACCAAGCAAAAGCACUCAAUGCCCAUCCAUGCUCCUUCUCACAGUAGUUUGAAAUAACAUUGCAAUGGUACGUGGUGUAAGACAGAGGAUAUACGAAUUCAGUGGUGCACAGCAUCCCUGCACAAACCAAUCAGACCUAUAGCAAACAUGAUUGAUUGACACUUCUCCGUUCAGCUCUGGACCAAUUGGCAGAGGAGUUGCCAGGGAAGCUGUACUCAAGGGCCGAGCUGUCACAUGAAAAAGAAGACAAGGGAGUGACCGUGGGAGCCCCUUCCCUUUCCCAAUGGGGUGGCCCGUGACUGGCCUGACUCCAGAGCUGUAUGGUCAGUGUUGCUCUUUAAGUUCCUGCCAGUGUUCCCUUCUUUACAACCUAAACAAUUUAUUGUGUGUGUUGUGUUUGCCUUUUUAUUUAGAAAGAUUAUUUGUGCAAUGAAAAAUAUCAAAAUAUAAUUUAUUAUUAUGUUCCACAUGUUA